UGUUCACUCGUGGUUCUUGUGUUGCUACCCAUUUAGCGGUAUUCAUGUGCCUCUUAAGACCCGUUCAAUCCAGACCCCUUCUAGGGGGAGUGCUGGUGAGUUCGAAAGUGAUGCAUGUUUUGCGUUAGCUGUGCAUUGCAACGGUUGGCGUGCUAACAUGUGUCUAAUGUUCCCUCGGAUGUGGUGCAUGCGGUGAACGUGGGCUGACGAUUGUGCCCCGUUGAGUCCCUUUUAAUUAUCGGUUGCCUUGAAUGACACUUUGUCGUAGUGCUAGUGUUGCCUUACCAUUCGUGGUGUCAACACUAGUAUGUCGAGCAGAGUCGUUGAUGGAUGCUACCUGGUUGAUCCUGCCAGUAGUCAUAUGCU
rnacentral:misc_RNA from 1 species